UACGUAGGGGGCUAGCGUUGUCCGGAAUCAUUGGGCGUAAAGCGCGUGUAGGCGGUCCGGUAAGUCCGCUGUGAAAGUCGGGGGCUCAACCCUCGGAUGCCGGUGGAUACUGUCGGGCUUGAGUACGGAAGAGGCGAGUGGAAUUCCUGGUGUAGCGGUGAAAUGCGCAGAUAUCGGGAGGAACGCCAGUGGCGAAGGCGGCUUCCUGGCCUGUUCUUGACGCUGAGGCGCGAAAGCUAGGGGAGCAAACAGG
rnacentral:rRNA from 1 species